rnacentral:rRNA from 1 species
UACGAAGGGGGCUAGCGUUGCCUGGAAUUACUGGGCGUAAAGGGCGCGUAGGCGGCACUGUUAGUCAGGCGUGAAAGUCCUGGGCUCAACCUGGGAACUGCAUUUGUGACUGCAUCGCUGGAGUGCGGCAGAGGGGGAUGGAAUUCCGCGUGUAGCAGUGACAUGUGUAGAGAUGUGGAGGAACACCGAUGGCGAAGGCAGCCUCCUGGGCCAACACUGACGCUCAUGCACGAAAGCGUGGGGAGCAAACAGG